rnacentral:rRNA from 1 species
GUGCGUCUCGGAUUUCUGCAUUUUCGAAUUCAUGUCAACCUGGACACGUUCCGGGAAGUUAAUUGCUGGGUUGCCGAUUGCUUUGUUUGCUGCAGCACUUGUGUUUUCAAAGUACUUUACCAAGCGCAGGAAUGUCACCUCCACUAUCGCACUGAGCGGAAGGCAUGCUAUCCCUUUCAAUACAUGGUCGUUCUUAUAUACAUCAGCUAUAUCACUGCCCAUGAUGCCAUACCUUGCUCCAUCGCUGUCAUAUGCCAGUGA